rnacentral:misc_RNA from 1 species
AACCUAGCACACCUGCGGUGUGUACCUGCGGAAGGAUCAUUACCGAGUGUGGUCCCAUAUAAGGGGCGCCUCCCGUCCUUUGCAGGGCCUUUAGGGGCUUUUUGACUUUGCUUCGGCGGGCUUGCCCCGCCGGAACACCCUCAAGAAAAUCUUUAUGAACCGUUUGUCUGAGUUGCUUGCGAAUAAAAACAAAACUUUCAACAACGGAUCU